rnacentral:rRNA from 1 species
UACGAAGGGUGCAAGCGUUACUCGGAAUUACUGGGCGUAAAGCGUGCGUAGGUGGUUCGUUAAGUCUGUCGUGAAAGCCCCGGGCUCAACCUGGGAAUGGCGAUGGAUACUGGCGGGCUAGAGUGCGGUAGAGGGUGGUGGAAUUCCCGGUGUAGCAGUGAAAUGCGUAGAUAUCGUAAGGAAGACCAGUGGCGAAGGCGGGUCUCUGGACAGUUCCUGACGCUGAGGCACGAAGGUCAGGGAGCGAAACGGG